rnacentral:lncRNA from 1 species
UAAGUGAUUCUCAUUAUGUUUUGGAGGAAGAAAUAAUAAAAAUUAAUUCAAUCUCUGUUAAUUCUUUUUUCUUCCCUUUGAAUUCUUAAAUUUUUUAUUUGUUCUCUCUUCAAUUCUCUAAUCAAAACUCUAAAACCUAUAAAAAAAGGAUCCAAAAGAGAAAAGAAAAAUCGAAAGAAAAUGAAGGAAAAACAAAGAAGAAGAAGUUAGCAAAUAAAAAAGAUGAAGAAGAAGAAAAAAAAAAUAGAAGCAAGAGAAGGAACAAACUAGAAAAGAAAAUGAAAAAGAGAAAUAUAUUCAAUUAUUAAUUUUUUAUUUGCGGCUCCCAUUUUACCCUUGUGUCGUUAUAUUUGAUGAGAAAAUUUAUGAUUUAUCACCUAUCAACUUAUUUUUAAAAAUUGUAUCAUUUUUUUAUAUUUAUUGAAAUAUUGUCACUUAAGUGAUAUUAACCCAAUCUACAAUUUAUAGUUUAUGGUUCACACCGGGUGAGGAAUGUUACGAUCCUAAUAGUUUAUUUUACUUUCUUUCCUAUUAAGAUUAGGUUUUCUUAUUGCAAUUAUGAUUUAGGAUUCUAAUUAGAUUAGAAUUAGGAUUGUGUUAAGUUAUUAUAAAUAAGUGAUUCUCAUUAUGUUUUGGAGGAAGAAAUAAUAAAAAUUAAUUUUAAUCUCUGUUAAUUCUUUUUUCUUCCCUUUGAAUUAUUAAAUUUUUUAUUUUUUCUCUCUUCAAUUCUCUAAUCAAAACUCUAAAACCUAUCAAAAAAGGGUCCAAAGAGAGGAAAGAAAAAUCGAAAGAAAAUGAAGGAAAAAAGAAGAAGAAGUUAGCAAAUAAAAAAGAUGAAGAAGAAGAAAACCCAAAAAAAAAAAAAUAGAAGCAAGAGAAGGAACAAACUAGAAAAGAAAAGAAAAAUAAAACGAAAAUUAAAAAGAGAAAUAUAUUCAAUUAUUAAUUUUUUAUUUGCGACUCCCACUUUACGCUUGCGUCGUUAUAUUUGAUGAGAAAAUUUAUGAUUUAUCACCUAUCAACUUAUUUUUAAAAAUUGUAUCAUUUUUUUAUAUUUAUUGA